UGGCGUUUCUAAAGAAUAAAGAAAAAUAAACAGAAAAAAAGAUGCGGGGUAUGUAACCAUUAUUUUAUUGCAGAGUUAUUUUAGAACUAUGAUAUCCUAAGUUAUUUAUUGAAACCAAAUUAUGUCAA